rfam:Desulfobacteraceae bacterium 4572_35.2 ex4572_35.2_scaffold_18367, whole genome shotgun sequence.
AACCAGGUCCCGCGCAACGGACGGUCGCGAACUCCGUCAGGCCCGGAAGGGAGCAGCGGUAACGAUGCAGUCUGUGUGCCGUGGGGGUGCCUGGUUGCC